ACGACAUCUGGAAUUAGAGUUGAAUUGGAGCACGGUAAACGAACUAACAUGGUAAAUACACUGAAGUACAAAACAAAAGAGAAAUCAUACAUUGCACAAAACAUGGUGGAAAAAGACGAGGUGUGUAUGAGGUGUGUAUGAGGUGUGUAUGAGGUGUGUAUGUGGUGUGUAUGAGGUGUGUAUGAGGUGUGUAUGAGGUGUGUAUGAGGUGUGUAUGAGGUGUGUAUGAGGUGUGUAUGUGGUGUGUAUGUGGUGUGUAUGAGGUGUGUAUGUGGUGUGUAUGAGGAGUGUAUGAGGUGUGUAUGUGGUGUGUAUGAGGUGUGUAUGAGGUGUGUAUGAGGAGUGUAUGUGGUGUGUAUGAGGUGUGUAUGUGGUGUGUAUGAGGUGUGUAUGAGGUGUGUAUGAGGUGUGUAUGAGGAGUGUAUGAGGUGUGUAUGAGGUGUGUAUGUGGUGUGUAUGAGGAGUGUAUGUGGUGUGUAUGAGGUGUGUAUGUGGUGUGUAUGAGGUGUGUAUGUGGUGUGUAUGAGGUGUGUAUGAGUUGUGUAUGAGGAGUGUAUGUGGUGUGUAUGAGGAGUGUAUGUGGUGUGUAUGAGGUGUGUAUGUGGUGUGUAUGAGGUGUGUAUGUGGUGUGUAUGAGGUGUGUAUGAGGUGUGUAUGAGGUGUGUAUGAGGAGUGUAUGAGGUGUGUAUGAGGACACAUGAGAGUUGAGUCUUGUGUUUUAAUGCCUUUAAAUUCCCAUCACUGUGGCUGUAGUCGUAGAUUUCAAUAUGAAGU
ensembl:lncRNA